rnacentral:rRNA from 1 species
UACGUAGGGGGCGAGCGUUGUCCGGAAUCAUUGGGCGUAAAGAGCGUGUAGGCGGCCUGGUAAGUCCGCUGUGAAAGUCCAGGGCUCAACCCUGGAAUGCCGGUGGAAACUGUCAGGCUCGAGUCCGGAAGAGGCGAGUGGAAUUCCUGGUGUAGCGGUGAAAUGCGCAGAUAUCAGGAGGAACACCAAUGGCGAAGGCAGCUCGCUGGGACGGUACUGACGCUGAGACGCGAAAGCGUGGGGAGCAAACAGG